UAGUGUAGCGGUGAAAUGGGUAGAUAUUAGGAGGAACCACCAGGUGGCGAAGGCGGCUUUCUGGACUGUAACUGACACUGAGGCAUGAAAGCGUGGGGAGCAAACAGGAUUAGAUACCCCUGGUAGUCCACGCCGUAAACGAUGGGUACUAGGUGUAGGGGGUAUCAACUCCCCCCUGUGCCGUCGUUAACACAAUAAGUACCCCGCCUGGGGAGUACGGUCGCAAGAUUAAAACUCAAAGGAAUUGACGGGGGCCCGCACAAGCAGCGGAGCAUGUGGUUUAAUUCGAGGCAACGCGAAGAACCUUACCUAGACUUGACAUCUCCUGAAUUACCCUUAAUCGGGGAAGCCCUUCGGGGCAGGAAGACAGGUGGUGCAUGGUUGUCGUCAGCUCGUGUCGUGAGAUGUUGGGUUAAGUCCCGCAACGAGCGCAACCCUUAUUGUCAGUUGCUACCAUUUAGUUGAGCACUCUGGCGAGACUGCCCGGGUUAACCGGGAGGAAGGUGGGGAUGACGUCAAAUCAUCAUGCCCCUUACGUCUAGGGCUACACACGUGCUACAAUGGCAGGUACAAAGAGCCGCGAACUCGCGAGAGUAAGCCAAUCUCAUAAAACCUGCCCCAGUUCAGAUUGCAGGCUGCAACUCGCCUGCAUGAAGUCGGAGUUGCUAGUAAUCGC
rnacentral:rRNA from 1 species